rnacentral:rRNA from 1 species
UACAGAGGUCUCAAGCGUUGUUCGGAUUCAUUGGGCGUAAAGGGUGCGUAGGCUGUGGGGUAAGUCUGGUGUGAAAUCCCGGGGCUCAACCCCGGAACUGCACUGGAUACUGCUUUACUAGAGCACUGGAGAGGGAACUGGAAUUUACGGUGUAGCAGUGAAAUGCGUAGAUAUCGGGAGGAAUACCGAUGGCGAAGGCAGGUCUCUGGGCUGACACUGACGCUCAUGCACGAAAGCGUGGGGAGCAAACAGG